rnacentral:rRNA from 1 species
GUAGGCGGUUUACCAAGCAAGGCAUGAAAUAGUGUGGCUCAACCAUACUGCUAUGUUUUGAACUGGUAGACUAGAGGAUGAGAGAGGUUAUUGGAAUUCCAAGUGUAGGAGUGAAAUCCGUAGAUAUUUGGAGGAACACCGAUGGCGUAGGCAGAUAACUGGCUCAUUCCUGACGCUCAGGCACGAAAGCGUGGGUAGCAAACGGGAUUAGAUACCCCGGUAGUCCACGCCGUAAACUAUGGAUGCUAGCUGUACACCGUAUCGACCCGGUGUGUAGCGAAGCUAACGCGUUAAGCAUCCCGCCUGUGGAGUACGAGCGCAAGCUUAAAACAUAAAGGAAUUGACGGGGACCCGCACAAGCGGUGGAGCGUGUUGUUUAAUUCGAUGGUAAGCGAAGAACCUUACCAAGGCUUGAAAUCCUGAGAAGCACUGCGAAAGCAGAGUGUGCCUUCGGGAACUCAGUGACAGGUGUUGCAUGGCCGUCGUCAGCUCGUGUCGUGAGAUGUUGGGUUAAGUCCCGCAACGAGCGCAACCCCUAUGUUUAGUUGAAUUUUUCUAAACAGACUGCCCUGGUAACAGGGAGGAAGGAGGGGAUGAUGUCAGGUCAGUAUUACCCUUACGCCUUGGGCUACAAACACGCUACAAUGGCCAGUACAAAGGGUAGCCAAGUCGCGAGACGGAGCAAGUCCCAUCAAAACUGGUCUCAGUUCGGAUAGCAGGCUGAAACUCGCCUGCUUGAAGCUGGAAUCGCUAGUAAUGGUAAGUCAGCACAUUACCGUGAAUACGUUCCCGGGUCUUGUACACACCGCCCGUCAAACCAUGAAAGUGGCCAACACCCGAAGUCCGAUUUAUCGGCCUAAGGUGGGGGACAUGAUUGGGGUU